rnacentral:rRNA from 1 species
GUCUAUGGCCAUGCCACCCUGAACAAGCCUGAUCCCAUCUGAUCUUGGAAGCUAAGCAUGGUCGGGCCUGGUUAGUACUUGGAUGGGAGACCACCUAGGAAGACCAGGUACUGUAGGCA